rnacentral:rRNA from 1 species
CAGUAGCCACGGUAUUACGUAGGGGGCAAGCGUUAUCCGGAAUUACUGGGUGUAAAGGGAGCGUAGACGGUUAAACAAGUCUGAAGUGAAAUGCCGGGGCUCAACCCCGGAGCUGCUUUGGGAACUGUAGAACUGGAGUGUCGGAGGGGUAAGCGGAAUUCCCAGUGUAGCGGUGAAAUGCGUAGAUAUUGGGAGGAACACCGGCGACGAAGGCGGCUUACUGGACGACAACUGACGUUGAGGCUCGAAGGCGUGGGUAGCAAACAGGAUUAGAUACCCCAGUAGUCCCUGUCUCUUAUAC